CUUUCCCCCAGGCAUCCAUUAACCAGGCAUCCUCAGCCCCUGCUGUGGCCUGGUCCUAUGGGGUCUGCCUUGUCCCCUGUCUGCCUUCUGCUGGGAAGGUCAUUGGACCCACAUUGUCCCAUGGAGUUGAAGGUUGGCCAAAGGGGCUACUGAGCACUUGAAAUGGGGCUCUGAUUAGAAACGUUGGCACGUGUAAAAUACACAGCGCAUUUCAAAAUCUCAUUGUGAGAAUAGACAAACUUUAACUCUCUCAUGAGGCAUUUUAUAUUAAGUAUAUGUUGAAAUCCUAUGUGAGAUAAUUGAGCUAAUGCAGACACUAAAAUUUCUUCCACGAGUUCUUAUCGCCUUUUUAGCGUGUGGGGACUGGAAACACUUGCGCUUCCAUCCUGAGUCCUGGGUGUUUCCGAGGCCAGCACUGCUGUAGGCCAGGCCUGCCCAGCACACAGACGGCUCCCUCCCCAAACACACUCUGAAAAAAUCUCCUGCCUGGGAGGAGGGGGCCGCAGGGUUGGGUGGGACACGGCAGGGUGGGUGGGAGGUCAGUGGCUGCUGUGGGGGCGGCAGGGUGAGGAGCGAGGGUUCACCACCCUGUGAGGAUGUGUCCUUGACAUCGAGGAAUCAGGGCAGUGGCGGGGGCGGCCCCACCAGCCCACAGUGACUGGCCCAGGCACAGUGCUGGACACCAGACCCACCGCUUCCCACAGCUGCUGUUUCCCGAGGACUGCCGGACGCACAGCUCCAUGACAAGAUUUUGGGAAACAAAGUCAAGAGUGAGGGCGCUGGGCGCUAAACAAGGCCUUUUGGUGUCAUUCUAAAAGGUGAAUGGUGCUCACGGAGGAGGAGCCUGUGUCUGGGGUCGUGUGCAUCCUACUCUGCUCACAGCGGAGGCGUCUUUGGAAGAAAUGACUUAUUUUCUGGUACAGAGACCAUUUCCUCCCCCACACCCUCUCUUAAGACUUUGUAUUGAAACAAAGUAAAUCUUACAGAAAUUCCACCAAAGUGCUGAGAAUAAAAUGCCUGAUUGCUCCAAUCAUCCUUUGGUUCAAUUCUCCCAGUUCCUGAGCUCAGGAAUGGCGGGAAGCACACAGAGGGAGCACCCUCCCAAGGCGGGGAGCACCAGCCCGGGCAUGACUCUCAGGGGAGAAUCUCAGCAGGGGGCAUGGGCUGGGG
rnacentral:lncRNA from 10 species